GCAACAUUUCUGCAAAGGGGCAAGAUUUGUGAUUUCAAUCUUAUCCCUCUCCCCUUACCUCCCUGACUUCCAUCUCUUCUGGAACAUUCAUUGUACCAUACAGGUGCAGAAAAGAGCUGGUUCUCCCUGUGUCUUGGAUGUGGUCUGGGCCCAGGUGGUACUUCCUGUCAGCAAGUGCAUGUGAAGAGAAAGCCUGCAUGGGAGACUGGCAUGGCAGGUGGAGUUGGGGUGUAUUUGCCCUUUGGGCAUCAGCAGGAAGCAGGGCCAAGGCUGAAGGAGCGGUGUCUAUUGGGUCCUGCAGGUCUUGCGGCAGUCGGCAAAUAGAAGAACGGCAGAGCCCAGAAUGCAAGCAUAUUUAUGCCCCUGCUAGAGGGUGACCUGAGAGAUGUCUGCUCACAUUUUUUGGUCAAAACAAGUUAUAAGGCUAAGCCCAAAGUCAGAGGAGUUGGACUUACAUUCCUCUUGCUGAGAAAAAUUGUAAAAGUGGGAGGAAAUGAAAAAUUGUGAACAAA